rnacentral:rRNA from 1 species
AUUGAACGCUGGCGGCAGGCCUAACACAUGCAAGUCGAGCGAGCGGCGGACGGGUGAGUAAUGUCUGGGAAACUGCCUGAUGGAGGGGGAUAACAACUGGAAACGGUAGCUAAUACCGCAUACCAUCAGAUGUGUCCAGAUGGGAUUAGCUAGUAGGUGGAUAAUGGCUCGCCGAGGCGACGAUGCCUAGCUGGUCUGAGAGGAUGACCAGCCACACUGGAACUGCGACACGGUCCAGACUCACACGGGAGGCAGCAGUGGGGAAUAUUGCAGAAUGGGCGCAAGCCUGAUGCAGCCAUGCCGCUGGUGUGAAGAAGGCCUUCGGGUUGUAAAGCACUUUCAGCGGGGAGGCGUUACCCGCAGAAGAAGCACCGGCUAACUCCGUGCCAGCAGCCGCGGUAAUAC